rnacentral:rRNA from 1 species
AUUGAACGCUGGCGGCAUGCUUUACACAUGCCAGUCGAACGGCAGCGCGGGCUUCGGCCUGGCGGCGAGUGGCGAACGGGUGAGUAAUGCAUCGGAACGUGCCCAGUAGUGGGGGAUAGCCCGGCGAAAGCCGGAUUAAUACCGCAUACGACCUGAGGGUGAAAGCGGGGGACCGAAAGGCCUCGCGCUAUUGGAGCGGCCGAUGUCGGAUUAGCUAGUUGGUGAGGUAAAGGCUUACCAAGGCGACGAUCCGUAGCUGGUCUGAGAGGACGACCAGCCACACUGGGACUGAGACACGGCCCAGACUCCUACGGGAGGCAGCAGUGGGGAAUUUUGGACAAUGGGGGCAACCCUGAUCCAGCCAUGCCGCGUACGGGAAGAAGGCCUUCGGGUUGUAAACCGCUUUUGUUCGGGAAGAAAUCCUCUGGGCUAAUACCCCGGGGGGAUGACGGUACCGGAAGAAUAAGCACCGGCUAACUACGUG